AGUGUGGUAGAGUGAGGUACAGCGAGGUACAGUGUGGUAGAGUGAGGUACAAGGAGAUACAGUGUGGUAGAGUGAGGUACAGUGAGAUACAGUGUGGUAGAGUGAGGUACAGCGAGAUACAGUGUGGUAGAGUGAGGUACAGCGAGGUACAGUGCGGUAGAGUAAGGUACAGUGUGGUAGAGUGAGGUACAGUGUGGUAGAGUGAGGUACAAGGAGAUACAGUGUGGUAGAGUGAGGUACAGUGAGAUACAGUGUGGUAGAGUGAGGUACAGCGAGGUACAGUGCGGUAGAGUAAGGUACAGUGUGGUAGAGUGAGGUACAAGGAGAUACAGUGUGGUAGAGUGAGGUACAGCGAGGUACAGUGUGGUAGAGUAAGAUACAGUGUGGUAGAGUGAGGUACAAGGAGAUACAGUGUGGCAGAGUGAGGUACAGUGAGAUACAGUGUGGUAGAGUGAGGUACAGCGAGGUACAGUGCGGUAGAGUAAGGUACAGUGUGGUAGAGUGAGGUAUAGUGUGGUAGAGUAAGGUACAGUGUGGUAGAGUAAGGUACAGUGUGGUAUAGUGU